AUAAGGCAAGGGCAUAAACGAUGUUCUACUGGGGUUUUUGUGAAUCUACCGGUCAGAUAUGCAGUUGGCAGUGUUUGAAACCGUGCCAUAGUGAAAGCUCUCCGAAGGGUGGGGUCAGUGAUCUCCACCAAGUAGUUGGCACAGAUUUUGACUGCGUUUACUCGGGAAACCAGUAGGAAAACCCAGAGUUUUUUAUCUUUGUGGAGUCCAAAAGGCGUCUUUUCAAAGAUCCAUUCCCGAACUUUAUCAGGGCUCCACAAUUUAAGGGUAUUAAACUCAGGUAGAUUGUAUCUGGAUAGGAUAUCUAGUAGGUUUUUAUGCCAAGUAGUAUUAUUUUGUAAUAAUACAAAGGCUUGUUUAGCCAAUAAGGUGUUCGGGGCAUCUGUGAGGUUGGUGAAAACGCAGGAAUCUUAAGUGGGCCCUGGCAGACACAGAAGGUAAUCCUACUUCCACUCUUAGGAGAGCUGCCGGAGUACUCUGAGGGAGGCCUAGAAUUCUUCUGAGGUAAAAAUUUUGGAAGAUUUCAAGCCGUUCUAACAGCUUCUGAUUCCAUCCCCAGAGUUCUACUCCAUAUAGCAUCUGGGGAAUCACUUUUCCAACAAAAGCUUUUAAUGCCGGGAUCACCAGUUGCCCUCCCCUCGAAUAAAAAAGCUGAGCAGGGCACCGAUUGUCCUACGUGUUAGAAGGGCUACAGUCUUGAAGUGGGCAAGCCAGCUAGAUGUAGCUUGGAAAGUGAUACCAAGAUAUUUAAAAAGAAGACACUGUUCAAUUUUAUGUUCAUCUAAAGACCAUCUAAAUGUGUGGCGAGCUCUAGUAAAUACCACAAUUUUUGUUUUGUCAUAAUUUAUCUUUAGAGAGUUUUGGGAACAAUAAGCUGCGAGCCCCUCCAGCAUGCUAUGUAGGCCCCUUCGAGUAAGUGCCAUGACAGCCAUGUCAUCAGCAUAUAGUAAUAUAUUCAGGUGUUUGCCUUCCAGGGCAGGAGCUGAUGACUUAUACUUUGCCAUAUGUUGAACAAUGUCAUUUAUAUAGAAAUUAAAGAGGAACGGCGCUAACAAACAGCCCUGUUUAACCCCUUUCCCCAGUGGCAGUGGAUCAGUAUAGUUGCCUGACAUCCCAGUUCUGAUUUUAACUGUGGUGUCUGGAAUGUAACUCUCUAAGUAUUUUGAGAAGUCGUCUAUCAAUAUCUGUUUCAUAUAAUUUUUGCCAUAAUUUGUCCCUACAGAUUGAAUCAAAAGCGGAUGUGAGAUCUACGAAAGCCACAAAAAGUUUGCUCUUAUGUACUUUUGUAUACUUAUCUAUCAUUGUCUGUAGUACCAAACAAUGGCCUGUUGUACUAUGGCCCUUUCUAAACCCUGCCUGUUCCGGAUUAAGCAGGUUAGAGUGGUCAGCCCAGUCAACCAGUUUAUUUAGCAGGUAGCGAGUGUAAAGUUUAUACACAAUGUCCAGGAGACUUAUGGGGCGAUAGUUUGAGGGGUCUUGGGGGUCUCCUUCUUAUAGAUGGGGGCUACCAGGCUCAGUUUCCAGUUUUCUGGGAUUUUGCAUAUAUCAUUUAUUACCGUAAAAGUUGGGCCAAAAUAGCAGCCCACCACUGGGCAUUUAGUUUAAAUACCUCAGGAGGAAUCAUAUCCUCACCGGGAGCUUUGCCAUUCUUGAGUGUUUUAAUUAGCUGUAAACAUUCUGAUUCGGUAACAGGAUCCCAGCCCUUUAAUAGAUCGUUUUUAAGAGGAGGAAACUGGCUCGGUUUAGCAAUGUUUGGAGCUGUAUAUAGCCGGGAAAAGUGUUGGUACCAUAAGUUAGAUGAGAUACUGUUGGUUACAAUUUUCCCUUUGGGUGAAACUCCCUGGGCAAUUAUUUCCCAGAACUUUUUGUCAUCCCGCAAUUUGAUCGCUUUGUCAAGUGCCUCCCAUUGUUCCUUUCUGUAGAGGGAUUUCUUAAAUUUUAGAGUAUUUUUAUAAUGAGAACGCCACCUGUGCAGGUUUUCCAAUGAGGACAAGGUCCCUUCCUGUUUUACCUUAUUUUGUAGUUUCCUGAGCAAGGAUCUUAGAUUCCUACAGUCUUUGUCGAACCAGGCCCUCGAGUUGUUUUGUUUUUUGGGAGGGUUGGAAUUCGUGAGUAGUGGGAAGAGCGACUCUGAGACCUGCUGAAAUGUUGAAAAGGGGUCAGAAAUGGAUGAGAUGCACUGGUCUCUCAAGGCCAGUAAGUCUGAUGAAUGCAGGUGUAAUUUGAUUUUAGAUUCCAGGUCGCUGUUCCAUUUACGCCUACGAAGGGCCAGGGUUGGAGGUGGGUCUGCACAGUGAUUGCGGUAUUGCGGAUCCUCCACACCACGGGGAAUUAGUGAAAUUGAUAUAGGAAGAUGAUCACUCUCAAUUCUAUUGAAAGUCCUGAAGCCCUGUGACCUCUCCAAGAGUUUUGGGAGACCAGGAUAUAAUCAAUAACGCUCGCACCUCUGGGUCCAAGAAAAGAAAAGAAACCCCCUGACCUGUCCAUAUGGGUACCAUGCAAAUUAUACAAAUUAUGUUUGAAGGCAGUCUCCAUUAAUGUAAUGCCUGCCUUAUUCAAGACCUUAUCGUCUGAGGACCAGGGAAUAAACCAAUCUGCCUCUGGCAGGAACUGAGAUUUAGAGCAAUACGUAUUAAUGUCAUUUCCUAUCCUGGCGUUGAAAUCACCUGCCAGCAGGAUAUCCAUGCCAGGAAAUUCUAGUUCAGCCUUCUCCAAACAUAGCUCUAAAUCUUCCCAGAAUUGUGACGACUGGGGAGGGGUGCCUAUGGGAGGGAUAUAUAUAUUAAAGCAAAGGAAAUCUCCUCCUUCACUGCUAGAAAUAAGUGUGAUUUGUAAAUUGUUACUCUUCACCCACUGCUGUUGCCGGGCCUUGCAUUUUAGCUUGGUAGAAACAAAAGUGACUAAACCACCACUAGGUCGGCCUCGGGAUUUUGGUUUUAUCGCAGGGGUAGCAAAAGCUUCGUAUCCCUGUAAAGAGGGGACAUGGAGAUCUAGACACCAUGUCUCCUGUAGACAUAAAAUCUGAAAUUUUGUAAGGAAAUCCAGAAGGUCGACGUCACCCUGCUUAGAUAGCCAUCCCGCCACAUUCCAGGAUAGAAUGUGGAAAUAGGGUGAUGGUGGAAAUAGUGGCAGUCAAUCUCUUUUCCGAUGGUUUGAGGCUCCUGAGCUGGGCUCCUCCUCUAUCUGCCCUGCUUGGUGGUUCCGGGUUUGAGAUCGCUGGUCCCUAGAUAGGUAUGAUAACUUUAACUGAGGGGCCAAUAGGUUGAUUUGGCCCAGAGGAUCUUCGAUGACACCGUUACAAAUAUCAUGUUGUUCAGCUGAUGUAUCAUGAUGUUCAGCUGGUUUUCGCAAAGCAAGGAUUUUGCCGACCCGUAUAGGCUGUAUAGGUAGCAGGUCGACAACUGCAUCUUGCGUCGGUACUGCUAGCGGGUCAAAAUUUGACAAAAGCUGUGGAUCUUGAUUGCGUAUUGGGCUUAGAAUAAUGGAAGCCUCCAAUUCCGGCAUCGAGGCAUAUGAGGACGAGAGCAUUUCAGACUGGUCUUGCUUGGGUAGCCCAAUGCCAGGCUCAUUGCACGUAGAGACCAGGGUACCAAGCGGGGGAUGUAGGAAAUCAAUUAAGUCAUUUGCGGGCAGGCCUGCCACUCCCUGUGGGGUAAUAGAUCCCGGCUCCAUCUAUUUGUUCUUUAUGGCGCACAGGCCCAGCAUCAACACCGACAGCACCUAUCCUGGUGCAUAGCGGUGUACGGGUCAGAUUGGUGAAAACCCUUGUAAAAUAGAUGUACCAUUUUCUUGUGCGGUUUCUUAAUUUUAGAAUCUUUGCAACGAAAUGGGCAGAUCUAAAGUUAAUAACCAUACGUCUCAUAUAAGGUCCAGAAGGCAGCCAUGAGAUGUUCACGAUAUCUACGGGGCGUAAUGUCUGCCCCAGCAGUUGGGUCAGGGAAUUUGUGACCGAAUGUUUAUCCGCCCAUUUGUUAUAAUUCAAGGGGUGGUUUCCCACCAGUACUGCAAGUUUGCUGUUCUGGAGUUGCAGACUUGAGUUUUGUACUUGGUUGGGCAGGCAUCUCACUUGUUUUUGUGCAAGGUUGGCCUGCGCACUUGGGCAGGGGUGAGCGGAGUUUGCAAUGUUGUUAAGCUGAAGGAGUGAGGGGGGGCAACUGAACAAGCCAAAGGCUUUUUCAAGCUUCUUUUCGAUCCCAUCCAG